UAUUACCGAGUUUACAACUCCCAAACCCAAUGUGAACGUUACCAAACUGUUGCCUCGGCGGGAUCUCUGCCCCGGGUGCGUCGCAGCCCCGGACCAAGGCGCCCGCCGGAGGACCAACCAAAACUCUUAUUGUAUACCCCCUCGCGGGUUUUUUUAUAAUCUGAGCCUUCUCGGCGCCUCUCGUAGGCGUUUCGAAAAUGAAUCAAAACUUUCAACAACGGAUCUCUUGGUUCUGGCAUCGAUGAAGAACGCAGCGAAAUGCGAUAAGUAAUGUGAAUUGCAGAAUUCAGUGAAUCAUCGAAUCUUUGAACGCACAUUGCGCCCGCCAGUAUUCUGGCGGGCAUGCCUGUCCGAGCGUCAUUUCAACCCUCGAACCCCUCCGGGGGGUCGGCGUUGGGGAUCGGCCCUCCCUUAGCGGGGUGGCCGUCUCCGAAAUACAGUGGCGGUCUCGCCGCAGCCUCUCCUGCGCAGUAGUUUGCACACUCGCAUCGGGAGCGCGGCGCGUCCACAGCCGUUAAACACCCAACUUCUGAAAUGUUGACCUCGGAUCAGGUAGGAAUACCCGCUGAACUUAAGCAUAUCAAUAA
rnacentral:rRNA from 1 species